UCGAAUCGUCAUCUUUGAUGCAA
rnacentral:miRNA from 1 species